rnacentral:misc_RNA from 1 species
AAUUCUCAACUGUCCCAGGCUUUGUGGCUUGUGGGUGAAGUUGGACUUGGAGGCAUGCUGGCGCAUGAAUGGGCUUUGUGUCCUGCUGUGCUUGUCGGCUCCUCUUGAAUGUAUGAGCUUUCCAAUCCUUGGCAAAGUAUCAUCGAUGUGAUAAUUAUCUGCAUCGCCUGAGAAAGCCUAACAGGGGGAAAUCUUUGAUCACGUUGGGGGUGACCCGCGUCUGACAA